UACGUAGGGGGCUAGCGUUGUCCGGAAUCAUUGGGCGUAAAGAGCGUGUAGGCGGUCCGGUAAGUCCGCUGUGAAAGUCGGGGGCUCAACCCUCGAAUGCCGGUGGAUACUGUCGGGCUAGAGUGCGGAAGAGGCGAGUGGAAUUCCUGGUGUAGCGGUGAAAUGCGCAGAUAUCAGGAGGAACACCUAUUGCGAAGGCAGCUCGCUGGGACGUAACUGACGCUGAGACGCGAAGGUCAGGGGAGCAAACGGG
rnacentral:rRNA from 1 species